rnacentral:rRNA from 1 species
GUGCCAGCCGCCGCGGUAAUACGGAGGGUGCUAGCGUUGUUCGGAAUUAUUGGGCGUAAAGAGCGUGUAGGCGGCCUCGUAAGUCAGAUGUGAAAGCCCUUGGCUUAACCAAGGAAGGGCAUUUGAAACUGCUUGGCUUGAGUACGGGAGGGGGAAGCGGAAUUCCCGGUGUAGAGGUGAAAUUCGUAGAUAUCGGGAGGAACACCGGUGGCGAAGGCGGCUUCCUGGACCGAUACUGACGCUGAGACGCGAAAGCGUGGGGAGCAAACAGGAUUAGAAACCCGCGUAGUCC